rnacentral:rRNA from 1 species
GACGGAGGGUGCUAGCGUUGUUCGGAAUUACUGGGCGUAAAGGGCGCGUAGGCGGCCUGGUCAGUCGGAUGUGAAAGCCCCGGGCUCAACCCGGGAAGUGCAUACGAAACUGGCAGGCUUGAAUAUGGAAGAGGGUCGCGGAAUUCCCGGUGUAGAGGUGAAAUUCGUAGAUAUCGGGAGGAACACCAGUGGCGAAGGCGGCGACCUGGGCCAAUAUUGACGCUGAGGUGCGAAAGCGUGGGGAGCAAACAGG